AUGGGCUCCUUUGCUAAUGGCCAGAAUGGCUCGGAGCUUGGCAUCCAGAUGCCGGCCAUGGGGAGCAGCGCGGUGCCGGAGCCUCCCACAACAUCUGUAGCACCAAGAUGUCCACGGCUGGACAUGGCCAUGGUGGCAACCAGAGCUGCAGCCCUGGUGAUGGCGCUGCUCUCAAUGUCGCUCAUGGUCUCCGCCAAGCAACGGGGUAGUCUCAUCAUCUUUGGCAUCGAGAUUCCACUGUAUGCCAAAUGGUCCCUCUCUGAUUCGCUGAAAUCCUUGGUUGGGAUAUCUGCGGCAGCAGCUGCCUACUCCCUAGCACAACUCCUGUCGAUUGCAUACAAGGCCUUGAAGAAAGUUCCUGUGGUUUCAUCCAGGCGCUAUGCCUGGAUGCUGUUAGCUGGUGAUCAGGUCUUUGCGUACGCGAUGCUGAGCGCGGGGUCAGCGGCGGCGGCCGUCGCAAAUUUGAACCGCACCGGCAUCCGGCACACGGCGCUUCCCAACUUCUGCAAGCCCUUGCCACGUUUCUGCGACCUAUCAGCAGCCUCCAUCGCGUGCGCCUUUCUCAGCUGCGCCUUCCUUGCGGCAUCCGCCGUAAUCGAUGUGAUCUGGCUGUCAAAUCUGUGA
rnacentral:rRNA from 1 species